rnacentral:rRNA from 1 species
GCAUAACGCGAAGAACCUUACCCACCUUUGACAUGUACGGAAUCCUGCAGAGAUGCGGGAGUGCUCGCAAGAGAGCCGUAACACAGGUGCUGCAUGGCUGUCGUCAGCUCGUGUCGUGAGAUGUUGGGUUAAGUCCCGCAACGAGCGCAACCCUUGCCAUCAGUUGCUACGAAAGGGCACUCUGAUGGGACUGCCGGUGACAAACCGGAGGAAGGUGGGGAUGACGUCAAGUCCUCAUGGCCCUUAUAGGUGGGGCUACACACGUCAUACAAUGGCCGGUACAAAGGGCAGCGAAGCCGCGAGGUGAAGCCAAUCCCAUAAAGCCGGUCGUAGUCCGGAUCGCAGUCUGCAACUCGACUGCGUGAAGUCGGAAUCGCUAGUAAUCGUGGAUCAGCAUGUCACGGUGAAUACGUUCCCGGGUCUUGUACACACCG